rnacentral:lncRNA from 1 species
UAGCAAUCAGCGAGACUCCGUGGGUGCAGGACCCUCCAAGCCAGGUGCGGGAUAUAAUCUCCUGGUGUGCUGUUUUUUAAGCCCAUUGGAAAAGCGCAGUAUUCAGGUGGGAGUGACCCGAUUUUCCAGGUGCCAUCUGUCACCCCUUUCUUUGACUAGGAAAGGGAACUCCCUGACCCUUUGCGCUUCCCGAGUGAGGCAAUGCCUCACCCUGCUUCAGCUCACACACGGUGCGCACACCCACUGACCUACGCCCACUGUCUGGCACUCCCUAGUGAGAUGAACCCGGUACCUCAGAUGGAAAUGCAGAAAUCACCCGUCUUCUGCGUCGCUCAUGCUGGGAGCUGUAGGCCAGAGCUGUUCCUAUUCGGCCAUCUUGGCUCCUCCCCCUCGCCAGCACUCUUUUUAAGGAGUUCUACCAUUACAGCAGGUUGGCAAAGGACUUGAGAGCCAUGAUGAAGGUUCUGGAAAGGAAGGUCCAUAUGGGCAAGGAUCUUUGUCUGUUCACUGAUGUAUCCCAAGUGCCCAGAACAGUGCUUGGGACACAAUGAGUUCUCAAUAAAUAUUUG